rnacentral:rRNA from 1 species
GAUCUGGCUCAGGAUGAACGCUGGCGGCGUGCAUAACACAUUCAAGUCGAACGGACGACCCGGAGCUUGCUCCGGGAAGUUAGUGGCGGACGGGUGAGUAACGCGUGAGCAACCUGCCUGUGUGAGCGGAAUAACGUCCGGAAACAGACGCUAAUACCGCAUGACUCACGGACUUCGCAUGGAGACCGUGGCAAAGAUUUAUCGCACACAGAUGGGCUCGCGUCCGAUUAGG